GUUCAAAAUAACUUUAUUCGUACUGCUAUUAGAUCAGUCCACUGGGGAGCAACCAAUUAUUUUUGAUUACUCAAGGCAGAUAAGGCUGGGUUAGAACCGAGAACCACGCGCUGCAAGGGAGAGGGGCUGGAGGCACCUCCUGGCACGCGCACGCCGGCUGUGCUGCUCCCUGGCUCAGCACCUGUGUGAGCCCCCAGCACCUGUGUGAGCCCCCAGCGCCCAUGCGAGCCCCCAGUGCCCAUGCUAGCCCCCAGCACGGUGGGUUUGAGGGUUUUGCACAAGGCUUUGCAGGCGUGCGUGGUGUGGGCACGAAGGAGGCACAUGUGUGCCGCAGGCAAGCUGGGGGGGAUGUUUGCAGACAGGUGUGUGCUGUUUCCACCUAAAAACCAAUUAACAGUGAUGCUGCCGAGCUCAUUAGCCUGCCUGUGGCUGGUCCAUCCAUCUUGUUUGCCAGCCCCCAGCAUGGAGUCAGCCCAGGGGAGCACAGGGGUUGAGCAGGGCAGGAGCCAUCCUAGUAGCUGAGAUGAGCCGUGCCCGGUCUUGGUGCAGCAGUGCCGGCAGGAGUCAGCAUGGGCAAGGAAACGAGAAGCUUCCAGAUGAUUUACCACCCUCUGUUUGCACCAAAUCCAUUUGCAUGGUCCCGCUGGUUCCUGGAAGUCCUGGCUGCUUCGUGGAGCUGGCACAGGUUGCCUUCGUGGUGUAAAUCAGGGUUAUUAAGGCCCUCUGCUGCUGCGGGUGGGUGCAAGCCAUGGGCAGGUCUCCGUGAAUGGAAGGUCUCAGUCUGGAACUGAUUUGACUCCAGUCACCAGAGCCGCUGCUACCAGGGAUUUUGUAAGAGUCUGCAAGGCCUUUAAUCUCUUCCCCUACAAAUAGCACUGUGCCCCAGGGAGCUGUGAGCAUCCCUGCACCACGCCACAACCUCAUGAGCACCCAGCUGCACCCCACGGGAGGGUCACCUGCCUCAUGUCCCUCCUCUAGCUCAGAACCGUGCCUGGGGAUGAGAGGGAUGCGGCCGUCAGUCCAGCACCAAUGCAUGCUUAUGUCCGCCCCAUCUGGGCUGUGUUCUCCUAAUAUCCGUACUGCUUGCUGCAGGGUUUUCGCGCUAUCCGCAGCCAAACAGCAUUAUAUUCUGCUGAGGAAAAGUCUGUGUUUUGGGACCACUGGAACAAUCCGGCAGGAGGGCGUUAGGUGCUCCCAGCAUGGCACCCACAGGGCGCAACGAGCAGCACCGGGCUCGCGGUCCCUGUGCUCUCCUGCCCGGGGUGAUGGGGAGGUCUCCGCGAGGAAUUUAGGUGCAGAUGUUUAAUAACACCGGGACACGUGAAGUCUUGUUCGCCUUCACGGCUAUCGGUGCUGCUCAGCCACGCACACGGUUGUUUUCCUUGGCUCUGACAGAGAAAUGCGCUCCUCGAGGACUUUUCAUUAAGCAAAAAUUUAUGAGAGGGGAUGAAAAUUAUGUUUUACUGUCUGAGGUCUCAGUCAGUGCUGUUUCUUCAGACGUUUUAGUAAUUCGUCUUGGCAAGGACCUAGAAAAUGUCUCCAGUGGAACAGAAAAUUUCACUUGGAUGCUUGGAGUCGCUCGCAUCGGCCGGUCCCGUCCCCAGCGUGGACCGCUGCCCGGAUUAACGACCUGUCCCCCCGGGAGCUGAAACAAAAGCGAAACACCUCACAAUUUAUGUCCAGUGAAAAAUAACGUGUACAUGAUGUAAAGCGUUAUUGGGAUUUGAUGCUAAUUUUAGUGGUCACCUUGGCUGUGUUUGAGGAAGUUGCCGGCGGUGCCAAGAGCAAAUUUACCUGAUGAUGAAUGAGGAAUCAGAGCAUAAAAUAAAUAAAUAUCAGCAACACCUCUUUUUUUCCUGCUUUUUUGGCAGGUCGGUGUCAUCCAAGGUCACACAUUUGUGCAUUAGGAGAACUACUGCCAGAGCUUAACAGUUUAAAGUCAUUUCUAAGUGAAGAGCAGCAUCUUUAAGGGCUGAGUCUAAAACAGAAAGUCCAAAUUAGAGUCUCCCAAAAAUUCUUGCCGUUGGCUAGGUUUGCACAUAAGCUGUUAAUCUUCUUCCCUCCUUGUGCUCCAUCUUAGGCUUGGAAGCAGCUUGCUGUGAAUUUCUGCAGAAAUUCUUUGUUUUCCUCCUCGAGUCCAGGGCUGAAAGCACCCACGGCAGCCCCGACCUGGAGAGGAGCAGGGCACGGUGUCCUGCAAGAGAGGUCAGGCCACGGGGUGCUCUGGGGCGACCCUUGUUCUCCUCUCCAUGGGAAGACCUCUUGAAACGUUGGUUUUCUGUGCUCUCAAUGGAGAAAAGGAGGACUUUCUGUUUGUUUUUCAACAAAAUGCAACAAGUCGCAACAAGCAGGAAAAAUCUUUGUUUCCAUCAGCGCUUUUCUCAGACAGAGCCCGUGUCCCAGCCAACUCCAAGAACAAACUCAGGGCUGGAGCCAGGUCCGCCGAAGCGAGGCAGCAGCUCCCACCGAGCAGCACGUCCCAGGGCUGCCUGAAGCACCCUGAGGUACUUCGGCUCCUCGCUGAGGUGCCCUGCCACUGCCGGAGGACAGACCCAGGGCCUGGGGGAAAUACAGCCAUCCCAGUGUUUUUAUGAUUUCUUUUAUUACUUUGUCUUCCCAAAGCAAACCAGGAGGGAGGUCAGGAAGAAUAAGCGUUUUCAGGCUCCCGGCACUGCGACGACAGAAAGCAGACCUCUGAACGCUCGUUCCUCUGCGAGCUUCCAAAAACCAGUGCAAACCCUGCGCAUGUCACAGUGGCAAAAGGGCUUGCGAGCAAAACCAACGCAAGCCCUCCUGAAUAACCCCUGCUACUGGGGAUCAGAGGGCAGCAAGUGUCACUGCCCUGGCUCCCAAGCUGUUGCUAAUUACUGAAAGCAUCCCUAAAAAAGCAGGAAGCUCCCCCGUUAGAAACCACAAGCCUUAUUUGCAUGUAGUACCAAGCGUUCUGUGGUUUUGGAGACGGCCUUUCAAGAUUUGUAUUUUUAUUUAGUUUUUGUGGUUUUUUAUUUUAUUUGUUAUUUUUUUCCUCUCAGAGAGGAUGCGGGAAGGAGAUGCGUAAGGUUGCCGAAAUAACGCAGCCUACGCAGGGAGGCAGAGGGGAAGUUUGCGCUGCGUUAAGCAGGUUCCUCGGUGGAGACGAGGCAUGGCUGAAUUUAUAGCAACCCUCAGAAGAAAAUGAUAAAUGGAAGCUGUAAUUUUUACUGGGGAGGGGGACAGAUCAUGGGUGAGGGAACAAAAUAAUAAAAAAAACAUAAAUUAGAAGCACGGCUUGACGGCUGGGAGUUGAAAGUGUUUGGCUCGUAUAUAAUGUGCGUUUCUUGUGGAACAUGAUCCAGCACAGCGCAUGGAAAUUACCUGCAAAAAGACUUUCUAUUAAGUCAUAUUACUGUGAACUCUCCCUACAAGGGCUCCAAGGACGGGUGCCCCGAGAGGCACUGCUGCUCCUUGCUUCCUACUGCUCCUGACCCACGUCCUACAACAACCGCCCGCAUGGCGCUGCUCCGGUUUGGUAUGUACAUAUAUUUAAUAUAGACAGGAUGCAAUUCAUAGUGCACAGCCAGUGCACCUUUUAAGCCCAAUACAAGCCCAGCGGGACACCCUGUAGUUCUCCUCUCUCUCCUUAGGAGAGGUUUGGAUGGUUUGGGGGCAGCUGCUUGUUCUUGCACCCAUCCAGCACAGCUGGGUGCUGGUCCCCGUCCUAUUCCAAGUGCCCUGGGCUGUGGGGCAAUGCGCUGCCUCUCGGAGACGCUGGUUUUUAACCAGGAAAAGAUGCAAUGUGCCAUGAAGCAGCACUGCAGACGGCUCCAGGACCCUCCGUCACCAGGAGAGUGCAGGAACAUCAGUGCCAGGACGUGGGAAUGUCACCGUUGGGACACAGAAACGUCACUGCCAGGACAUGGGAACGUCACUGCUGGGACACAGGAAUGUCAUUGCCAGGAUGCACAGCUCAGAGGUUGCCCCUGCCCAUCCCAAUGCCAGCAGGAGUUUGGCUGCUCACGGACCCCUCAGAUCUCGGUGCCGCUGGGAUGUGCACGACCUGCAGCAAAGUCAUCUGCAAAGCCUUGCCUCGGAGAGAUGUGUUAAACCAGGACAGCUCCUCCGUGCAGGGAGGGUGGCAGGGGGCAGCCUGGAGGAAGGCAGGAACCAGAGGCUUUGGUGGAUCCACAGGAGAAACGGCAAUGCCACAGAAAGAGACUGAACACGAGUGGGAAGGGGCCGAGCAUCUUUCCAUGACACGUUUCCACCCACCACAUGUUCUCAAGGAGCGGCAGCCUCACAGCUCCCCAGAUUUCCCAGGUCUCGUCCUGACAGCCAAGUUUGUCUCUAAACCUGACCGGUUUCUUUGGGUUUGAGUCCAUCUACCGAUCCCUUUUUGAUGCCAGAAGUGCUUCCCUGAGCCAAAUUUCCCUGGUAAUUGUCCUUUGGAUUAGUUUGGAAAAUUGCAUAAGCCUUGGGUUAGAGCUGGCUGCGUCUCUCAUCCGAGUGCCUAAGGCUUCAUGGGGCAAAGACUAAAGAGCUGUGAAAUGCAGAGAUAUAACAGAUGUUGACAUGUAGUGAAAAUACUAGACGCAGGAGCCUAAGAUAAUAAAUCUGAAAAAUUAACACGUAGGAGAACGAAAAAAGGAGCAAUAUGUUUUGGUAAUCAUUCUGAACUGCUGAACCCUUCUCCUGCAGUUCAAAAAUCUCUGGUAUUAAGCAGAUGUCAUUCAACCAAUGAUUAACACAUUACCGAAUUUCUCCAGUCGUUUAAUAAAAGUUUUACAUAACAUGCAGGUAAUUGCUUCCAAAUGUCAAGGUAACAAUGUGGGCUUCUAUGGAUGGCAUUGUUUCCAGCGUCAGGUGAAAACCCCUCUUGGUGCCGUGCUAUCAGGCGAGGUCCCACUGCGAAGACCCCGCGCCUGGCCAGCUGCUUUUCCCGUCACUCCUCCUAAAGCAGAAACAAAGAAACAGUCGGGGAAGAUUAAAAGCCUUCGAUCUGGUAAUGUUUUCUUCCCUUUGAAUGUCUGUGCAGGCAGCAAGCAGACCUCGUGCUCCAAAAAGAGGGCACAGGCAUAUGUCUUCUCCGUGAUUUUAUUUUAUUUUUUCUUUUUCUUGCUAGAUCUCAUUGCUGCUGGAUGCAAGUAGGUAGUGGAAAAGAGCAGGGUGCAUGGGAUGUCCUGGCAGCAGAGAUGGGUGAUGCUUCCAGGCAGCCCACAAGCUCGCAGCCACCCAGCCCAUUUCUGCAGGAGCUCUCUCCCCAUCCCUGAGCCCACCUCGAGCUCAAAACCUACAUUUACCCACCAUGGGAGCAGGAAAAUGUUCAUCCCAACCAGGUUAUUUGCCCGAGAGCUGUCCCCAUGUAGAGCUGGGGGUCUCAGCACCACUGCAGGGUCUCGCUUGUUAUUUCAGCAUCACUCACAGCGAGGUGUGAGAGUGAUGGAUGCCCAGGGAUGGGGAGCCUGACAGGCUGCAAACUGUGUGCAGACUCUGCGAAUUGCUGGCCGGUGGCUUUCCAGGCUGCAAAUUAUCUUCCCAAAUUAUAACUGGAGAACAGGAUACUGCUAAAACAACCGAUCUGUCGCGAGAUGUGUCCUGUGUUUGUCAGAGGCCGGUGUAGCUCUGUUGAGAACAGCUAGGGGUGGCUGUCCAAAGUGCAUGUCGAUGCCACAGCUUUGAUGUGACGCUUGCUUUUAGGAAAUCUUUAAGUGAUUUGUCCUGCCAUGGCAGGUGGCACACAGUCCUCCUGCUAACCAGUGUCUGCACUACGGAUCUCACUGCUGCUGAGAUAGGCAGGGCUGAGAAAGCAGGAUUGUCUCUGGUCUUGUGAGCAGAGGAGUCCUGUCCCAGGUGCAGAUGCUGUCGGUGCAGUGCUCUGUGCCAGACCUGCAGGAAUAGGGCCAAGUAUCUCCAUCUCUGCAUACUUCAGCUGCCCAGCUGCUCCUCCAGGUGUCCUGCAGCCCCCUGAGCACCUCACAAGGCAACAGAUACCCCAGUGCAGGGGGUAUCCCACCCUGAAUCCCACCCUGGCUUCCCUGGCAGGUGGGUUUCACCCCAUGGUGACCAUUGCCUUGGGUCUCUGAA